rnacentral:rRNA from 1 species
GGAGGAUCCGAGCGUCUAUCCGGAAUUAUUCGGGUUUAAAGGGAGCGUAGAUGGAUGUUUAAGUCAGUUGUGAAAGUUUGCGGCUCAACCGUAAAAUUGCAGUUGAUACUGUCAGUCUUGAGUACAGUAGAGGUGGGCGGAAUUCGUGGUGUAGCGGUGAAAUGCUUAGAUAUCACGAAGAACUCCGAUUGCGAAGGCAGCUCACUGGACUGCAACUGACACUGAUGCUCGAAAGUGUGGGUAUCAAACAGGAUUAGAUACCCUGGUAGUCCACACAGUAAACGAUGAAUACUCGCUGUUUGCGAUAUACAGUAAGCGGCCAAGCGAAAGCAUUAAGUAUUCCACCUGGGGAGUACGCCGGCAACGGUGAAACUCAAAGGAAUUGACGG